CUAGAGAAGAAAGCAGUCUUUCCAUCCAAUCCUGCCUCUCCAUCACAGGAUAACUGCAAGAGAGUGAAUAUAGGGGAUACCGUGCCAAGGUCUUCUCAUCUGUAAAGGGAGGAGGCAUAACAGAGCCCGUCUAAUAAGAUGGUUGUGAGGACUAAGGAUGCUAAUUCCUUCUUUGUAAAGCUGAGAAGAUUGUGGACACACUAUGUUUCAUGGUCUAUUAAAAUUAUUCUGCCCAUGUCUGCACAGACACGCCUUUGAAGAUUAUAUUUGAGAACUAGAAGCUUUGACAGUGUAAUCACCCAUCAUCUGCUUUCAAUGCCAAAAGGGACAAAUUCCAGCAAACACCGAA